rnacentral:rRNA from 1 species
GACGAACGCUGGCGGCGUGCCUAAUACAUGCAAGUCGAACGAACCGCGACUAGGUGCUUGCACUUGGUCAAGGUGAGUGGCGAAUGGGUGAGUAACACGUGGGUAACCUACCUCAUAGUGGGGGAUAACAGUCGGAAACGACUGCUAAUACCGCAUAGGACAUAGGAUCACAUGAUCCAGUGAGGAAAGGUGGCGCAAGCUAUCGCUAAGAGAUGGACCCGCGGUGCAUUAGCUAGUUGGUAGGGUAAAGGCCUACCAAGGCGAUGAUGCAUAGCCGUCCUGAGAGGGUGAUCGGCCACAUUGGGACUGAGACACGGCCCAAACUCCUACGGGAGGCAGCAGUAGGGAAUCUUCCGCAAAGGACGCAAGUCUGACGGAGCAACGCCGCGUGAGUGAAGAAGGUCUUCGGAUCGUAAAGCUCUGUUGUUAGAGAAGAACAGCGCAUAGAGUAACUGUUAUGCGUGUGACGGUAUCUAACCAGAAAGCCACGGCUAACUACGUG